AGCGUACACGGUGGAUGCCCUGGCAGUCAGAGGCGAUGAAGGACGUGCUAAUCUGCGAUAAGCGUCGGUAAGGUGAUAUGAACCGUUAUAACCGGCGAUUUCCGAAUGGGGAAACCCAGUGUGAUUCGUCACACUAUCAUUAACUGAAUCCAUAGGUUAAUGAGGCGAACCGGGGGAACUGAAACAUCUAAGUACCCCGAGGAAAAGAAAUCAACCGAGAUUCCCCCAGUAGCGGCGAGCGAACGGGGAGCAGCCCAGAGCCUGAAUCAGUGUGUGUGUUAGUGGAAGCGUCUGGAAAGGCGCGCGAUACAGGGUGACAGCCCCGUACACAAAAAUACACAUACUGUGAGCUCGAUGAGUAGGGCGGGACACGUGGUAUCCUGUCUGAAUAUGGGGGGACCAUCCUCCAAGGCUAAAUACUCCUGACUGACCGAUAGUGAACCAGUACCGUGAGGGAAAGGCGAAAAGAACCCCGGCGAGGGGAGUGAAAAAGAACCUGAAACCGUGUACGUACAAGCAGUGGGAGCACAGAGCAAUCUGUGUGACUGCGUACCUUUUGUAUAAUGGGUCAGCGACUUAUAUUCUGUAGCAAGGUUAACCGAAUAGGGGAGCCGAAGGGAAACCGAGUCUUAACUGGGCGUUAAGUUGCAGGGUAUAGACCCGAAACCCGGUGAUCUAGCCAUGGGCAGGUUGAAGGUUGGGUAACACUAACUGGAGGACCGAACCGACUAAUGUUGAAAAAUUAGCGGAUGACUUGUGGCUGGGGGUGAAAGGCCAAUCAAACCGGGAGAUAGCUGGUUCUCCCCGAAAGCUAUUUAGGUAGCGCCUCGUGAAUUCAUCUCCGGGGGUAGAGCACUGUUUCGGCAAGGGGGUCAUCCCGACUUACCAACCCGAUGCAAACUGCGAAUACCGGAGAAUGUUAUCACGGGAGACACACGGCGGGUGCUAACGUCCGUCGUGAAGAGGGAAACAACCCAGACCGCCAGCUAAGGUCCCAAAGUCAUGGUUAAGUGGGAAACGAUGUGGGAAGGCCCAGACAGCCAGGAUGUUGGCUUAGAAGCAGCCAUCAUUUAAAGAAAGCGUAAUAGCUCACUGGUCGAGUCGGCCUGCGCGGAAGAUGUAACGGGGCUAAACCAUGCACCGAAGCUGCGGCAGCGACACUAUGUGUUGUUGGGUAGGGGAGCGUUCUGUAAGCCUGUGAAGGUGUACUGUGAGGUAUGCUGGAGGUAUCAGAAGUGCGAAUGCUGACAUAAGUAACGAUAAAGCGGGUGAAAAGCCCGCUCGCCGGAAGACCAAGGGUUCCUGUCCAACGUUAAUCGGGGCAGGGUGAGUCGACCCCUAAGGCGAGGCCGAAAGGCGUAGUCGAUGGGAAACAGGUUAAUAUUCCUGUACUUGGUGUUACUGCGAAGGGGGGACGGAGAAGGCUAUGUUGGCCGGGCGACGGUUGUCCCGGUUUAAGCGUGUAGGCUGGUUUUCCAGGCAAAUCCGGAAAAUCAAGGCUGAGGCGUGAUGACGAGGCACUACGGUGCUGAAGCAACAAAUGCCCUGCUUCCAGGAAAAGCCUCUAAGCAUCAGGUAACAUCAAAUCGUACCCCAAACCGACACAGGUGGUCAGGUAGAGAAUACCAAGGCGCUUGAGAGAACUCGGGUGAAGGAACUAGGCAAAAUGGUGCCGUAACUUCGGGAGAAGGCACGCUGAUAUGUAGGUGAAGUCCCUCGCGGAUGGAGCUGAAAUCAGUCGAAGAUACCAGCUGGCUGCAACUGUUUAUUAAAAACACAGCACUGUGCAAACACGAAAGUGGACGUAUACGGUGUGACGCCUGCCCGGUGCCGGAAGGUUAAUUGAUGGGGUCAGCGCAAGCGAAGCUCUUGAUCGAAGCCCCGGUAAACGGCGGCCGUAACUAUAACGGUCCUAAGGUAGCGAAAUUCCUUGUCGGGUAAGUUCCGACCUGCACGAAUGGCGUAAUGAUGGCCAGGCUGUCUCCACCCGAGACUCAGUGAAAUUGAACUCGCUGUGAAGAUGCAGUGUACCCGCGGCAAGACGGAAAGACCCCGUGAACCUUUACUAUAGCUUGACACUGAACAUUGAGCCUUGAUGUGUAGGAUAGGUGGGAGGCUUGGAAGUGUGGACGCCAGUCUGCAUGGAGCCGACCUUGAAAUACCACCCUUUAAUGUUUGAUGUUCUAACGUUGACCCGUAAUCCGGGUUGCGGACAGUGUCUGGUGGGUAGUUUGACUGGGGCGGUCUCCUCCUAAAGAGUAACGGAGGAGCACGAAGGUUGGCUAAUCCUGGUCGGACAUCAGGAGGUUAGUGCAAUGGCAUAAGCCAGCUUGACUGCGAGCGUGACGGCGCGAGCAGGUGCGAAAGCAGGUCAUAGUGAUCCGGUGGUUCUGAAUGGAAGGGCCAUCGCUCAACGGAUAAAAGGUACUCCGGGGAUAACAGGCUGAUACCGCCCAAGAGUUCAUAUCGACGGCGGUGUUUGGCACCUCGAUGUCGGCUCAUCACAUCCUGGGGCUGAAGUAGGUCCCAAGGGUAUGGCUGUUCGCCAUUUAAAGUGGUACGCGAGCUGGGUUUAGAACGUCGUGAGACAGUUCGGUCCCUAUCUGCCGUGGGCGCUGGAGAAUUGAGGGGGGCUGCUCCUAGUACGAGAGGACCGGAGUGGACGCAUCACUGGUGUUCGGGUUGUCAUGCCAAUGGCACUGCCCGGUAGCUAAAUGCGGAAGAGAUAAGUGCUGAAAGCAUCUAAGCACGAAACUUGCCCCGAGAUGAGUUCUCCCUGACUCCUUGA
rnacentral:rRNA from 1 species